AAAAAACAUUUUUAAUAAAAAAAUUUAAAAGUCCAAAAUGUAGUUCAAGUUGAUUUAAGUUCUUUUUUUUUUUUUUUGUUUUUAGCUUGUUUUGGUUUGUCGUUCAAGCCGGCCCUAGGAAUAUCUAGGGCAGCCGAAGGGCAGUAUGUUAUAGAAGUUGUAAAUACUGGACAUGUCUCCAGACACAGUUAAUAUUUGUUCCUACCAGUAAAAGCGUAUUAUGUCA